rnacentral:misc_RNA from 1 species
GAUGAAGAACGCAGCGAAAUGCGAUACUUGGUGUGAAUUGCAGAAUCCCGUGAACCAUCGAGUCUUUGAACGCAAGUUGCGCCCGAAGCCACUAGGCCGAGGGCACGCCUGCCUGGGCGUCACACGCCGUUGCCCCCCCAUCUACUCCUUCGGGAUUGCGGGGGGGCGGAUGAUGGCCUCCCGUGCGCCUAGCCGCGCGGUUGGCAUAAAUACCAAGUCCUCGGCGACGCACGCCACGACAAUCGGUGGUUGCGAAACCUCGGUUGCCCGUCGUGUGCGUUCGUCGCGCAUCGAGGGCUCGAAAAAAUGCUCGGCUCCGGCUGGGCUUUCAACGCGACCCCAGGUCAGGCGGGGUUACCCGCUGAAUUUAAGCAUAACAAUAAGCGGAGGA